UAUGGUGGCCCCUGGCCUGUGGGGGCCAAAGGGGGUGAGAACCAGGCUGAUGCCUGGAAGAGAGCACCCCCGGCACUGGGCUUGGACUUUGACCUCCUGCCAGACCCCUCCAAGGAGAUGACAGGUAAUGUGCAUGAUGAACCGCAUACACCCAUCACUGGCCUCUCUGCUCAUUUAUCCAUUCAACGGAUCUCAGGCAGACAGGAAGAACCUUCCAUGGGUGUGGAAGACACACACACAACAGACCAAACACACAGAGCCUGACCAGAAGAAAGUGUGAGAAAGCCUGCCCACCUCCGGUCUUUUCUCUCAUUUUGCAUCUAAGAGGAUUUCAAGAAAAAAAUGAAAGACCGUCCUGACCACUCUGUUGGACAGCACUGUUGAUGACUGGUGGUUUCUAAAAGAAGAAAAUAGACUGUUUUUGAGCAUUACAGAAAAAAGGAAGAUUUGUUUCUCAGAAGUGUUUUAAUAGAAAGGUAAUUUAAGUUCACCAUUUUUAGAAAGUAGAGAAAAUGAAUCAUCCAUCGACUCUACUUACCAGUUUAGCAUUUUUGGCGGUGUUUUCUUGAAGUGUUUUUGCAAUGCACCUGUCAUAUUUUAAAUGGCUGCAGUCCCAGGGAAAAUACACUAUUAUGGUCAUUUAUGUCACAGCAUAUACAGUUUCAGUAUUGCUGCGGGGCCAGGAAACAUCCAUUUGGAGGAAUUAUACCCCUGCUUCCUCAGAAAGAGCACACAGUCAGAACUGGAAGUUACCAAACUAAAGGACACGCUGCUGAAGGAGGGAGCUCCUCUCCCUCCUUCCCUCCAGGAAGAGAGCUUUGAGUGGGUCACGUGGGGCUAGGCUGCCUUGGCACCUCCGUGAUCUGCGCAAGUUUGCAAAUGAGAACCAAAGCUUCUGAGGCUGCAACCGAAACACCUUUUGCUAAAGCUGCUGGUGCCAAGUAUAAUCGGGGAAUUAUAGCUUUUACUGAAUCAAUGUCUACUUGUCAACACAUGCCUGACAUUGGGUUGAGAAUAAUUCAAACUCAUCUUUUCAUUCUGUCUACUUGCACUAGAUAUGGUUGUCAUAAAU